rnacentral:rRNA from 1 species
AGGAAUAUUGGUCAAUGGGCGAGAGCCUGAACCAGCCAAGUAGCGUGCAGGAUGACGGCCCUAUGGGUUGUAAACUGCUUUUAUAAGGGAAUAAAGUUAGUCUCGUGAGACUUUUUGCAUGUACCUUAUGAAUAAGGACCGGCUAAUUCCGUGCCAGCAGCCGCGGUAAUACGGAAGGUCCGGGCGUUAUCCGGAUUUAUUGGGUUUAAAGGGAGCGUAGGCCGGAGAUUAAGCGUGUUGUGAAAUGUAGACGCUCAACGUCUGCACUGCAGCGCGAACUGGUUUCCUUGAGUACGCACAAAGUGGGCGGAAUUCGUGGUGUAGCGGUGAAAUGCUUAGAUAUCACGAAGAACUCCGAUUGCGAAGGCAGCUCACUGGAGCGCAACUGACGCUGAAGCUCGAAAGUGCGGGUAUCGAACAGGAUUAGAUACCCUGGUAGUCCGCACGGUAAACGAUGGAUGCCCGCUGUUGGUCUGAACAGGUCAGCGGCCAAGCGAAAGCAUUAAGCAUCCCACCUGGGGAGUACGCCGGCAACGGUGAAACUCAAAGGAAUUGACGGGGGCCCGCACAAGCGGAGGAACAUGUGGUUUAAUUCGAUGAUACGCGAGGAACCUUACCCGGGCUUGAAUUGCAGAGGAAGGAUUUGGAGACAAUGACGCCCUUCGGGGUCUCUGUGAAGGUGCUGCAUGGUUGUCGUCAGCUCGUGCCGUGAGGUGUCGGCUUAAGUGCCAUAACGAGCGCAACCCCUCUCCUUAGUUGCCAUCAGGUCAAGCUGGGCACUCUGGGGACACUGCCACCGUAAGGUGUGAGGAAGGUGGGGAUGACGUCAAAUCAGCACGGCCCUUACGUCCGGGGCUACACACGUGUUACAAUGGCAGGUACAGAGAGACGGUGCUCUGCAAAGCGCAUCAAAUCCUUAAAGCCUGUCUCAGUUCGGACUGGGGUCUGCAACCCGACCCCACGAAGCUGGAUUCGCUAGUAAUCGCGCAUCAGCCAUGGCGCGGUGAAUACGUUCCCG